rnacentral:antisense_RNA from 1 species
GGAGGAGGAGCUGGCGCGGCGGCCACGGGCGCCCAGCGCGCCUUCUCGGCGCCUGGAGCCAGACGCGAGUAAUCCUGGGUGGCCCGCAGCGGAGCCGUGGCCGGGCUAGAGGAGCCGGCUGGACUGCGGGAGUGCCGGGCGGCUCGCGGUGUCCACCUCGGGCUGCUCCCCUGCGCUGCGUUCUCGCGGCCCCGCGCCGGCGCUGCGCUCUGCGAUGUGAGCCGCUGCGUGUCCAGCCGGGGCUCUGGCGAGGAAACUCACUUCAAAAGCAGCUGCACCAAGGGAGAGAUUAAAGCCUUUGCCGCCUUCCAAUCAAAUGGGAGCCCGAGGUGAUUGGAGGGUCAAGGGGAUGUGACGCGUCCCGCGCCGCCGCCGCCGCCAGGACUCUCAGAGCUGGUUUUAAUGGGCAGCUCCCUCUUCGCCGCCCCCCUGUGUGUCCCCUCCCUCGAUUUCGCUGCGAGGACGAGAUGGACAUUUAUUCUACGUUUACCAUCCGCCGCCUCCCUCUUUUUUCCUCCUCGUCGUUCUUCCUUUCCCCAGCUCGAAAAUAAACUGAAACCUUCUUUUGGAGUGGGGUGCGCGUGAGGAACAGACUGCGGGGGUGUCCAGAAGGAGCACCGGUGGGAGUGUGGACACCGGCCGGACUGUCAACUCCAGGGGCGAAGGGAACCUGCACACCCAGUGUUUUUUCCUUCGCAGUAAUCGAGAUCCCGCGCGGCGCAGCGCAGCCACCAGGAAUCGACGGGAUUUCUCUGGCUGUCGUUUGCGCUGCAUUUAUCCGAAUAAAUCCAGCUCGCAAGCAUCCUGCAAGAAACGGCUCCCGGCUCGCGUGUACACCGACACCUCGGCCCAACGCAGGACUCGAGGUGGCUUCUAGUGCCCGGGUGGCUGCAAGUCUGGCCUCCGAAGGAGGCUGGACAAGCGGCGCCCCCAGGUCGAGCGGCCUCUCGUUGCCUGGCAGUGCCUGGCAGCCCCCCCUCUGCCGGUGCUUCAGCAACCCUCCUGGCCAGGUUCGCCCGCGGUGAAAAAUGAAAGCAAAUUCCCCAACAAAGGUAGCCGGAACUUUCCUCGACGAAGGCUCCCUCCUGCGCCUGUGUCUCGGAGAACCCCCAGAGGGCUGCAAGUUAGCAAGAGAGAUUCGAUGACGGCUCUGGAAGGCGCGCGAAGGGUGGGGCGGGGGGGCAAAGAGGCCACUGGGUGACCCAGCCUGGCCCGGGGUGAAACGCUAGAGAAGGCGCCUCGCCUUCCUUAUUUCAAUGCAACUCCUCGGCCCCAGACGGUAAAAAUAGUUUCCAAGCUGCCGCGGACGCCCAGGAUGUGUUUGCAGAGAUCAAACUGGGGAGGAGGCAGCUUUGUAAAAGUUGCAGAAAGAUUAGCCGAGAAGCGUCCGCCCGGCGGGGCUCAAGAAAGCUUGGGGACAGCU